rnacentral:rRNA from 1 species
UACGUAGGGGGCAAGCGUUGUCCGGAUUUAUUGGGCGUAAAGAGCGUGUAGGCGGCCAGGCAGGUCCGCUGUGAAAACUCGAGGCUCAACCUCGAGAGGUCGGUGGAAACCGUCUGGCUAGAGUCCGGAAGAGGAGAGUGGAAUUCCUGGUGUAGCGGUGGAAUGCGCAGAUAUCAGGAAGAACACCCGUGGCGAAGGCGGCUCUCUGGAACGCAACUGACGCUGAGACGCGAAAGCGUGGGGAGCAAACAGG